GCGAACCCCGGGCGAGCGUCCGGGGGAAGCCGGGGGGGGCAAGCUUUACUCGGAAUCACGGUGCGUAAAGAGCAGGUAGGCUGGGUUUGAAGUUGGAAGUGAAAUCCUAUGGCGUAACCAUAGAACUGCUUCCAAAACUACUUACCGAGAAUAUGGGAGAGGUAGAUGGAAUUUCUGGGGUAGGGGUAAAAUCCGUAGAGAUCAGAAGGAAUACCGAUUGCGAAGGCGAUCUACUGGAACAUUAUUGACGCUCAGAUGCGAAAGCGUGGGGAGCAAACAGGAUUAGAUACCCGUGUAGUC
rnacentral:rRNA from 1 species